GAAAGCCGGAUUCGGGAAAACCGACCGUCCGGUUUGAUGAGGGGGAACUGGAGAUAGAGCCUCACGGUCACUACGCCAGUUCUCUACUCUAC
rfam:Nitrospirae bacterium RBG_13_41_22 RBG_13_scaffold_26008, whole genome shotgun sequence.